GGCUCUUUGGCGCAAUGGAUAGCGCAUUGGACUUCUAGAUAAAUAAAGGUAUUCAAAGGUUGUGGGUUCGAGUCCCACCAGAGUCG
rfam:Xenopus tropicalis strain Nigerian Chr06_contig_3190, whole genome shotgun sequence.